rnacentral:rRNA from 1 species
UUUACCCGCUGAAACUAAGCAUAUCAAUAAGCGGAGGAAAAGAAACCAACAGGGAUUGCCUCAGUAACGGCGAGUGAAGCGGCAAAAGCUCAAAUUUGAAAUCUGAGGCUUUCAGCCCCCGAGUUGUAAUUUGAAGAUGGUGUUCUGGCGCCGGCCCCCUGUCUACGUUCCUUGGAACAGGACAUCACAGAGGGUGAGAAUCCCGUCUGGCGGGGCGGCCUGGCUCCGUGUAGAGCGCCAUCGACGAGUCGAGUUGUUUGGGAAUGCAGCUCUAAGUGGGUGGUAAAUUCCAUCUAAAGCUAAAUAUUGGCGAGAGACCGAUAGCGAACAAGUACAGUGAUGGAAAGAUGAAAAGAACUUUGAAAAGAGAGUGAAAAAGUACGUGAAAUUGUUGAAAGGGAAGGGUAUUGGAUCAGACUUGGUGCUGUGCGAAUAGCGGCUCUUCUUGGGCCGCCCACUCGCACUCCACCGGGCCAGCAUCGGUUUGGGCGGCAAGACAAUGGCGGGGGAACGUGGCACUGCUCUCGGGCAGUGUGUUUAUAGCCCCCGCUGAUGUUGCCUGCCUAGACCGAGGACUGCGGCUUCUGCCUAGGAUGCUGGCGUAAUGAUCCAACACCGCCCGUCUUGAAACAUGGACCAAGGAGUCUAACGUCUAUGCGAGUGUUUGGGUGUAAAACCCGUACGCGUAAUGAAAGUGAACGUAGGUGAGGGCCCUUUCUGGGUGCAUCAUCGACCGAUCCUGAUGUCUUCGGAUGGAUUUGAGUAAGAGCAUAGCUGUUGGGACCCGAAAGAUGGUGAACUAUGCCUGAAUAGGGUGAAGCCAGAGGAAACUCUGGUGGAGGCUCGUAGCGGUUCUGACGUGCAAAUCGAUCGUCGAAUUUGGGUAUAGGGGCGAAAGACUAAUCGAACCAUCUAGUAGCUGGUUCCUGCCGAGUUCUCCCCUCAGGAA